GUCUGGAUGGCGCAGUGGUUAACGCACCUGCCGAGUAAGCAGGAGAUCCCGGGUUCGAGUCCCGGUUCGGCAUACA